CUGGAGGUUUUACGGUGGGAACCUCUAUUACUUUUCACAAGAAAGGAAGCCGUGGGACAAGGCCGAGCAGUUCUGUGUGUCUCAGGACUCGCACCUGACCUCUGUCUCCUCCCAGGAGGAACAGGAGUUUCUCUCCAACGAGACCAAGGGACAAGAUCACUGGAUUGGACUCACUGACCGGGAGACAGAGGGCAGCUGGCGCUGGGCGGAUGGCACAGAAUACAGAGCAGACGCAAGCAGGGGGUUCUGGGCGGAGAAUGAGCCAAACAAUCACGAUCCGGAGAAGGAUGGUGGAGAAGACUGUGUUCACACCGAGCCAAGAAAGCGGAAUUUGUGGAAUGAUUACAAGUGCACUCAGCCUUUCAGGUGGAUUUGUAAGCAGGCCCAUGGACCGGCUGGGCUGUGACAUGCAGGUCCCAGCACCUGAGAAAGCGCCUUAAUUUCCAAGCUAUGGAGCAUGUUUUCCAGCCACCUGCCGAUGAGAAGCCCUGCGCACUGGAGGGGGCCGCAUGGGAUGUGCAUCGCAGGGACGCUUUGUCUUGCUGUGAUAUUUCUGGCUGUAGCAGCGACAGCUGCCCUUAUGCCGCUCAGUGUGGCUGGCUCUAUAAUUUGUAUGUUUCCAGGUCUGUCACUGAAUAAAAUCCUUGGAUCGUGGAGUUAUUGUUUCACAAUCACCCAAUAAAUAAUGAUUUUCUUGACUUCUGGUAGUCAGACCUGUUCAUGAUGACAACAGCACCUCCAUUAUCAGCCUCUUUGAUUGUAAUGUCAGUGUUAUUUCUGAGGCUGUCGAUGGCAUUGCGUUCUGCACGACUUAGGUUAUGAGGCAAGCAAUGUUGUUUUUCCAAAAUUUCUGCUUGUGCAUGUCGGCAGAAGCAUUCUAUGCAUAGGUCCAGACUGUCAUUGUGACCCUCAGGAGUCUACCAGAAGGAGGCUGCCAGACA